GGGUAGGGAUGCACUCGGCUGAUAUGUCUCGGUUACCUUCCCUUGCUGCUUCUUGCGGCUUGUCUUUUGCCUACUUCUGGCCCCUGUGCCCCUCGCGGGGCGCCCUACGAAAGAAAUCCACCUCUUGAUAUUGCUGGCCUCUCUGAAUCUUCUGAACAGUUACAACUUUCACUUUCGGAUCUCUUGGUUCUGGUUCUGGCAUCGAACACAAACGCAUGCAAAUGCUAUUGUGAAUUGCAAUUGUCAAAUUCUCAGAAUCUCUUAAUCUUUGAAUUGCGCCCUUUGGUAUUCCAAAUGGGAUGGCUGUGCCAGCUCCAUUUGCACUCUCACCCUUUGCUUGGUGUUGGGCGUCUUGGACCUGCCUUUGCUGGAGACUCUCCUUAAAGUAGUUGGCAUCCGGCCUACUGGUUUCGGAGCGCAUUUUAAGUCGCACUCUCUAUCAUGAAAGGUCUAGCAUCCAUUAAGCCUUUUUUUCAACUUUUGACCUCGGAUCAGGUAAGGAUACCCGCUGAACUUAAGCAUAUCAAAAGCCGGAAGAAA
rnacentral:rRNA from 1 species